ACGACACAUACAUCGAGUCAGCUAAACAAAUACAAAUUACACGGCCAGCUAUUAACACGUUACAAACUUACUUUCGAAGAUGCUUAAGAAGAAGACGAAUAAAAGAGAAACAAACACAACCACACAAGGAGAUACAAGAGACAAUCCCGACAGACGCAAAGGCGGCAACAACAUCUCCACUUGCUCACUCCUCUUGUCUUAUGAAAAUAGCUCACAUGCCCAAUAUCAAAAGGUCAAUGUUAUUGUCUUCUUAUGAGAAAUACAUAAAUUCAUUUAAAACCCAUUAAGGCUCAAAUACUCAGAAUUGUCAUUUAUUUUAUAGUUAUUUCUACAAGUCUUCAUGUAUUUGUUUUAAAGGUCCAGUAAAAGAACAAGUUUAAAAAAAAACAUAUAACAAACAUAAUAAGAAUAAUAAAAAUUAUUACUUAAUACACACAACUUACACAAUUAAACUAGAGAAAAAAAUAUUCAGAAGCAAAAGGUACUCUCAACAACGUUAUAUGAUUUAUAUACUCUCAACAGUACAAGAAACAAAUUAAAAAGACAAAAAAAAAACAAUAAGCCUCAGUGAUACAACAAACAACACCACGAACUAUAUCAAUCACAUUACUAACAUAGUUUACUCUUUCAUAAGUGAAGAACAAUGCAUACACAGUUCAUUAUCACAACUCUAACCCUAUAACAAUAAAAAAACUUGAAAAAAAAUGAUCAAUCCAAAACAUAAAAUUCACAAAUACAAUAGCCCUAGUAAAUAUUGAGAUAAAACAAUAACUCCGUCGAGCGCGAGCGCGGAGACAAUGCCCUUUUACAAUACUAUAUAAUUCACCGUUGUUUUCUAAACGUCUUGGACAUUAAGAUCUUUAAAACCUUUUGAUUUUGAAUACUUAACAACGGUGGGUUAAUAUUUUCUUACCCUUAUAUUAAUCAAAACCAUAUUUCCAACAAAUAUGUACAAAUUUUGACACUUUGUGUAUUAAGCGAAAUUGUCAAAUUUAUUUGUUCAUUAAAUUUUAUGAAAUAAAUUCUAAUAUAUGAUAAACAAAUCCUUUAAAUAAGACCCAAUAUCCUAAAAAAAAAAUAGAAAG
rnacentral:lncRNA from 1 species